AGAGUUUGAUCAUGGCUCAGAUUGAACGCUGGCGGCAGGCCUUAUACAUGCAAGUCGAACGGAAACGAUGCUAGCUUGCUAGCAGGCGUCGAGUGGCGGACGGGUGAGUAACGCGUGGGAAUUUGCCUAUUAGUGGGGGAUAAGCUGGGGAAACCCAGUCUAAUACCGCAUACGCUCUACGGAGGAAAGGGGCCCUAUCCUUGGAAGGUCUCGCUGAUAGAUGAGCCCGCGUCGGAUUAGCUUGUUGGUGAGGUAAAGGCUCACCAAGGCGACGAUCCGUAGCUGGUCUGAGAGGAUGAUCAGCCACACUGGGACUGAGACACGGCCCAGACUCCUACGGGAGGCAGCAGUAGGGAAUAUUGGACAAUGGGGGAAACCCUGAUCCAGCCAUGCCGCGUGUGUGAAGAAGGCCCUAGGGUUGUAAAGCACUUUCAGCGGGGAGGAAACGCCAUAGGUUAAUACCCUGUGGCUAUGACGUUACCCGCAGAAGAAGCACCGGCUAAUUUCGUGCCAGCAGCCGCGGUAAU
rnacentral:rRNA from 1 species